UACGUAGGGUGCGAGCGUUGUCCGGAAUUACUGGGCGUAAAGAGCUCGUAGGUGGUUUGUCGCGUUGUUCGUGAAAACUCACAACUCAAUUGUGGGCGUGCGGGCGAUACGGGCAGACUGGAGUACUGCAGGGGAGACUGGAAUUCCUGGUGUAGCGGUGGAAUGCGCAGAUAUCAGGAGGAACACCGAUGGCGAAGGCAGGUCUCUGGGCCGCAACUGACGCUGAGGAGCGAAAGCAUGGGGAGCGAACAGG
rnacentral:rRNA from 1 species